GAGCAAUGAAGACAUCUUUGUGACAUGAUACAUGUGAGUAAUUCAUACGCUAUUCUGAGCUCUUU
rfam:Biomphalaria glabrata isolate BB02 unplaced genomic scaffold LGTN_random_Scaffold2104, whole genome shotgun sequence.